UGUCAGUGACCAUGACUCCUUCUGCAGAGGUGACAGAAGGUCAGAGAGUCACUCUGACCUGCAGCACCAGCUGUCCUCUGACUGACAACAACAACUACAUCUGGUACCUGAACAGUCGGUUUCUGAGCCAAAACAAACACCUGGUUCUGGAGCCAGUCAGCCUUCAGCAUGCAGGAAACUACUCCUGUGCUGUGAAAGCCCACGAAAACAUGACAUCAGCUGAAGAGGCUCUCACUGUUCGAGCCCGGGAUAAAACAAUGGCAGCGAUAAAUGCAUUAAAAGCUGGCAUAUUACUACUGAUCCCGCUCGCUGGAUUUCUCUUCUACCUGAGGAUGAGAAAGAAGAAAACCAUGACAACUGAGCAAAGUGGCAAAGUGCAAACUGGACAGGGUGACCACAUGAGUGAGAACAUCGCACUCAUGGAUUUGAACCCAGCAGCGCAGAGAGAACCAGCAGAGCAGCAGGAAGACAAAGUGUAAUAUAGGGUGAUAGGCAGAGUGCAGAGAGAACGCCAGCCUUAUUCUUCAGGUUUCAAGUGAGAAAGUCAUGAUCUGAGACUGUGUGAAUACUUCGGUAAAAUUCAUGUGUGUGUGCACUCAGAAGGAAGGCCCAAACUUAUGUAAGCUUUAAUCUUCCUCCUGCUUUCGCAACCACUGAGUGACAGAUGUGGUGAUGUUAUCUAUAGCAGAUUCUCACAUCCGUUUCUAAUGCUGUCCGUGGUUAAAGUUUGACAGAUGUUCUUAACUUCCCGUUCCAAAAGAAGCAAAUUGCAACAUAUUUCUUUCACUGACAGUAAACAAAUUUACUGAGUUUUACAUUCCAACAGUUUUCAUGAUUGAAUCUUUUACUUGUUAUAUUUUGCAUGUUAUAAUGCCCUAUUAGUUUCAUUACUGCUAAUUCUACUUAGUUAAGUUUUUUUUUUUAUUAGAAGUGUUUCAAUAUAACCGUCUACCAGACUCUGUGUAUUCAUUCCUCCUCGUACAUAUCCUUUUGUUGCUAUUACAUAAUGCCAUUUUAACUGGAUUUGUACUAUGUAAAAUCUGAAACUUUUCUCAAAGCAUUUCCUAUGAACCCAUCAACUGUCACGCUUUCUAUCUAAGGGCUAAUUUCUGCUGCUGAAUUCAGAUUACUAUCAGUUGAGACACCUAGAAAGCUAAACCACAGAUGGUGUACAUAACCUAAGCUGCUAAAGAAUACAUGACAUGUGAACUAUUGAGAUAAGGUCUGAAACUCUUGCCUUCUGUUUUGAUCAUUAGACAUUCAGUAAAUGGUUCUGGUCACUGCUUACCAAUAUGUUGCAUUUUACUGAUCAGGAGAGCGAAACAAGCAUCAUGUGGAGACUAAACGCCGUUCCAUUUCUGUGCGGCACGUUUAACUUGACUGCAGUUCUGCUUUCUGGUAUGGUGCCCAACACAAGAGGGACUGAGCUGCACAGGAAAUGAUGCUGUCUUUAGCAGGGAGGUUUAAUUAGCCUCAACAAAUGAUUCACAUAUACUGUGAUUUUCAAGCCAGACUUUAGCUGCUUUUUGAUGUUAAUUAAUUUUUUCAUCAUACAUAAAAUUACUCUUAUAUGCUGCCAAAAAGGAAAAAUUUAGAAAGACUUUUAAAGCUACUGAAAAAAACAAAUAAGAAGGAUGACAUUAGAUAGAUGGAAAUGCAACUAAUUGGAAAUUGAAAGUGUAAUCACUGAAAUAUGCAGCAGUUUGCUUAUACUGCAUGCUUAAGUGUUCAUAUACAAAGAUACACAAUAUUUAGAUGUUUAGUAAUAUGAUUUUCCGUGUGUAUUUAAUUAGAAAAGACAAGCUGGUAAAUAUCUUAUGAUUAUACAUGAUAGUUAAAAUUUCCCAUCACUGAAAAGUCUAAUUUUUCCUCCAGCACAUCUUCAAUAUUCCAUAUUUUCUGAUGCAUUCCUACAUUUCUAAAACCAAGGCAUAUCUUCACUACAUCCAGUUACGCUUUGAAAUACAUUUUUGUUGACAAAAAUGUUAUAAAUAGAAACAUUUUCAACCAGAGUUCAUUGAUUAUAUGUAUAGAAACACCUUUCAAAUUGUUUAUAUGUAUGAUUCAAUAUUCAUUUCUACAUUUUGGGGUCGUACAUGUACCGACAAACAACAUGAAAUGAGGCUGUGAUCAGCCACAGACUUACAUUAUCAUCUAUAAUUGCCUAACAGAUGCCUUACAAUAUUUCUUAUUUUUUCUACAUACAAAUAACAACACAUGAAUUUAUAUAUGUAUAUUCAAAUUGUAUUAAUCUAUGCAUAUCAUAUAAUUAGGAUGUCUACUAUUAAAAAAACAACAAAAAACAAACAAGGUAUGUCAGUAUGUGAUUACUUCAUUCUCAUAUUGAUAUAGUUUUUAUCUUCGCUCUUUGCUACAGCAGCCAAACAGAUUCUGUUGGUCCCGGUGUGCCACCCAGAGACUUUCAGUGGGCCCAUCUCGGCACCCCUGUUAAAGCUCCCACCCAGCAGGUUGCAUUUAGUGGCCUUAUAAUGCGCAUUACCAAGUGUUGAGCAGCAGGUGUCACCAUCUGUGUGUGCUUGGCUGUCGUAUUUUUCCUCUGAUCUUGUAUUUUUGGAAGACUUUGUUAGUGUCUCAUUCCAUUUCAAAGGAUAUAUGAACUUUCUGGUCAGUAUCAGGAUGGUUAAGUGAUGUAUUUUUAACCAAAGAUUUCUGGUGCGUCAGUUUUUGUUAUGCGAACCAAAUUCAACCCUUUUCCAUGUAAAAUUUGCUGUCUGUAUUUUUCAUAAAGUGAUGAAAAUGUCCUGGUUUUAAUUGUUUUUUGUUGGGCUACUAAAUUGAACUAAAACUAACAAAUAUUUUUUAUUAGUUAUUUUUUUCUAAGUUUGCGACAGCUGUUUUUGUUCAAGAUAUAUUGUUAAUAUAGCGGAUGUAUUUUUUAGUUGUUUUUUUCUAAUACAGAAGCGAUAUCAUUUCUAUCAUUAUUUAAUUUGUUAGUUUUGAAACUUGUUAUAAUAAAACACGUAGAGUAACCUCUGAGAAGCCUGUCUGAAUUUGUGUCUUUGGUUAUAGACAUCCAUCCAUCCAUCCAU